rnacentral:rRNA from 1 species
UACGUAGGCAGCGAGCGUUGUUCGGAGUUACUGGGCGUAAAGAGUGCGUAGGCGGUUUUCUAAGUUUGGUGUGAAAUCUCCCGGCUUAACUGGGAGGGUGCGCCGAAGACUGGAAGGCUUGAGUAUGGGAGAGGUGAGCGGAAUUCCUGGUGUAGCGGUGAAAUGCGUAGAUAUCAGGAGGAACACCUGCGGUGUAGACGGCUUACUGGACCAUAACUGACGCUGAGGCACGAAAGCGUGGGUAGCAAACAGG